GAUCAUGGCUCAGGACGAACGCUGGCGGUAUGCUUAACACAUGCAAGUCGAACGAGACGAGAUGGAAGGAUCCUUCGGGUGACGGAAAUCUUAGAAAGUGGCGAACGGGUGAGUAACGCGUGGGUAACCUGCCCUAUGGAAAGGAAUAGCCUCGGGAAACUGGGAGUAAUGCCUUAUAAUACAUUGAAGUCGCAUGGCUUUGAUGUUAAACGCUCCGGUGCCAUAGGAUGGACCCGCGUCCCAUUAGCUAGUUGGUGAGAUAACAGCCCACCAAGGCGACGAUGGGUAACCGGUCUGAGAGGGCGAACGGUCACACUGGAACUGAGACACGGUCCAGACUCCUACGGGAGGCAGCAGUGGGGAAUAUUGCGCAAAUGGGGGCAACCCUGACGCAGCAAUACCGCGUGAGUGAAGAAGGUUUUCGGAUCGUAAAGCUCUGUUAUUGGGGAAGAAAAAAGACGGUACCCAAGAAGAAAGUCCCGGCUAACUACGUGCCAGCCGCCGC
rnacentral:rRNA from 1 species